UACGUAGGGUGCGAGCGUUAAUCGGAAUUACUGGGCGUAAAGCGUGCGCAGGCGGUGCGCCAAGCUCGAUGUGAAAGCCCCGGGCUUAACCUGGGAAUUGCAUUGAGGACUGGCGUGCUCGAGUGCGGCAGAGGGGGGUGGAAUUCCACGUGUAGCAGUGAAAUGCGUAGAGAUGUGGCGGAACACCGAUGGCGAAGGCAGCCCCCUGGGCUGAGAUUGACGCUCAGGCACGAAAGCGUGGGGAGCAAACAGG
rnacentral:rRNA from 1 species